rnacentral:rRNA from 1 species
GAUGAACGCUAGCGGCAGGCUUAAUACAUGCAAGUCGAACGGUAAGUAUUUUAGCAAUAAGAUACGAGAGUGACGUACGGGUGCGUAACACGUAUGCAACCUACCUUGUACAGGAGGAUAGCUCGGGGAAACUCGAAUUAACCCUCCAUAAGAUCGUGGUGAGGCAUCUCACAGCGAUAAAAUCUUAGGAGGUACAAGAUGGGCAUGCGUCUGAUUAGAGUUGGUGCGGGUAACGCCCACCAAGACGAUGAUCAGUAGGGGACCUGAGAGGGUGACUCCCCCANACUGGCACUGAGAUACGGGCCAGACUCCUACGGGAGGCAGCAGUAGGGAAUNUUGGUCAAUGGAUGGAAUCUGAACCAGCCAUGCCGCGUGCAGGAAGAAGGCGUUAUG